CGUGGGGUGGGACGCAUCUCUGAACCAGGAGGACGGCGAGCUGCUGUCAAGGCCGGGUCUCUGGCGGUAGUGCUGGCGAUAGCUCUGGCUGUGCUUAAACUCCUUCCAAGGUUUCCCACUGUCCUCAGGAAAAAGUGCAGACUUCUUAGCAGUACGCACUUCUCCAGCUUCUUUGCUUUGCUUCCCGAUUCGCUGGGUCUCCCGAAAAAUGACCCACUUGCCCCCAAGGUUCAGGUUAUUUCACACCUUUGGGCCUCUGCUUUUGCGACUCCCUUGCAGUGAACAGCCUUGCCACACACCUCAGGUGGACUGGCAGAGGAAGUGGACGACAAAGUUCUUCAUGCUGCGUUCAUUCCUUUUGGAGACAUCACAGAUAUUCAGAUUCCUCUGGAUUAUGAAACAGAAAAGCACCGAGGAUUUGCUUUUGUUGAAUUUGAGUUGGCAGAGGAUGCUGCAGCAGCUAUCGACAACAUGGUAUGGCUGGGAAUCUUAAUUCUAACUAAAGUUGCUUUUUGGUGGUACAGAGGCUCCUUAUUCAUAUAUCAGUGUUCUGGACUUCCAAAGUUACAAGGUUGCAUGGGGAGAAUGAAUCUGAGCUUUUUGGACGUACAAUUCGUGUCAAUUUGGCCAAACCAAUGAGAAUUAAGGAAGGCUCUUCCAGGCCAGUUUGGUCAGAUGAUGACUGGUUGAAGAAGUUUUCUGGGAAGACGCUUGAAGAGAAUAAAGAGGAAGAAGGGUCAGAGCCUCCCAAAGCAGAGACCCAGGAGGGAGAGCCCAUUGCUAAAAAGGCCCGCUCAAAUCCUCAGGUGUACAUGGACAUCAAGAUUGGGAACAAGCCGGCUGGCCGCAUCCAGAUGCUCCUGCGUUCUGAUGUCGUGCCCAUGACAGCAG
rnacentral:lncRNA from 10 species